UUUGAUAUCUGCUGAAUGACAUGACAUUUUUAGCGGCUGAAUUAUGAGUCGAAUCAUUUCGAAUUCAUUUUGUAUUUCAUAGAAUAAACGAUUCUAACGUUGAAUAACUACAAUGGUCAACGGCCGAUUCUCUUUGAACAUAACUCAAAGGAAAGAAAAAUAAUAUUAGAAAAAGAGUGUACACUGUAAUUCAAGAAUCAUAUUUCAUCUCGUUAAUAGAAUCAAUAUUAUAAUAACAAUUUUGAAAACACAACGUUCUAAUCCUAAACGUUCUAAUCUAAAUUUCCUUAACCUGGAAAUUCCAACAAUACUAACCCCAACCCUUUAACUUUUAGCCAAAUACACAAGCUCGCUCUCUCUCUCUCUCUCUCUUGAUCUCAAUAAAUCGGUCCUGUAGAAUCUAAAGUUUAGAACCACGUUGUUUGCCAAAAUAAUUUAUCAACGUGAUUCGCCUGGAAGGGUCAGAAGGAAUCGCGCGGCGAGCAGAGAAAGUGUCACACGAAUCUUUAUCACGAGUUCGGUAGCGCGCAAAUUGGCCGCGCUAUCCACGCCACUAUCAUUUAACAUCGUCGUAUAUUACGAGCAAAGUUUGUUCGCGCGAGCUCGAGGCUCCCCUUUCCUUCCUCAUGCUGUUGCACUCGAAAAGUUCGCAUCGGUUCGGUCCAGCAUCGAAGAGGGAGAAGAAACGUGCAGAGAGGACCUCUCUGUUCGGGAGAGAGGAAGAGAUCGGCCAGUCGCGAUAUAUAAUGCCGCUGGCAUGACAAGGCGAGAGCAAUUAGAUGUCGCCGGAUGCAGCUGCAGGCGAUUGCGUCAUCAGAGUUACUUUGCAACCUUGAUCUCUCCGGAGGGGUCUCCGUUUCCCUGUCCCCCACCUCGAAGUUGCUGGCCUCCCUCUGCCAGGUCUCAGCGGCCACCGCCUCCUCCUUCUUCUUCUUCUCUUUCUUCUUCAUCGUUUUCUUCUUCUUUUUCUUCGUCUUCUUCUUCUUCUUCCCAUUCUGGCCUCCGUUACAUUACAGCCUCCUCGAUGACGUUUCUCGCGUUUUCUCGGUUUCUCGGUGAGAUACGUUGGCCAACAGUCCGAUGGAAGGAGGAAAAGAGUGAUGACUGGUUGAUAGAACUUAAUAAUUAUCGCUGUGUUUGUUAUUUCUAGCGGAAGGACAGUGAGCGUAGUUGUAUCCUCAAGUGGGAGGAAUAAUUGAUGAAUCGUACAAUGUACACACGUGGCGGUUUGGUACAUCUAGAACGUAGAAUCUUCUCGUCGUUUCAGGUUUUCCUGAUAGAAAUACCGUCGUAUUUUCGCUUACAAUUUCGCUUAUGCUUGCGUGCGGAAUUGCACGUUCAAGCUGUACAAUGUUGCUACUGGACGAUACUAAACGUGUGGUUAUAUUUGAAAGCGCAGCUAUCACGUUGAUGUGUUUGAAAUUCCUGCGUUUUGGAUGAUUUUACUCGAUGUCUCAUACGCGAGAUUAAUUUUGUCAGUAUGUAUAUCUUUAUUGAAGUUCUAGAUGUUUCUUCUUCAAUAUUUCUGUCCAAUUACUUGGCCCGAUAUUCUCUAUACAUUUAACGUAUCUUUGAGUUAAUUUUACAGUUACAGUAACAGUAUUAAUUUUACAGUUAAGUACACCGACGUGCUUGGAAUAGAAUAUGCUUUGCAACAAAUAUAGGCCCGAACUUGUUCUUAAAGAUAACAUGGAAAAUGAUGAAAUUAUUCGAAAAAAUAAUCGGCGUAACGAUAUAACCAGACCAUUUUAUUUGUCGGUAAUAAUCAUACAGCUGAUGGGUUUUAUCUGCUGGUAAUUACCUUCGGAUAAAAAAGGGGGAACAGUUUCUUUCUUCUAGCAUUCCUCUGAAAUACAUUUUCGUUGUAGGCCUUGUAUUUACUCUGCCUAUGGGAUUUUCUUGCCUGUUCGCGAGGAGAAAAAAGAGGAACGCCCACGGGGGGUCAGAUUAUCCAGGUCCUCUGCUAUCUUCCUCCUAUCAGACACGAACUUCGCUGAUUCUUUUCUGCAACUUCUCCGUCGAAAAAAACUCGACCACCUGUAAUUGAAUUUGACUCAAGUCUUCUUGUAUCCAUUCUGUUGCGUCUGCCACUUUCGGCUUAAUCGUAUUGAAAAAGAAAAGAUCGCUAAGAAUUUCCUUAAGUUUGAAGAAGAUAUAGGAGAGUAAUAUUGGUUCGUUAAAUUUUUCAGUUAGAAUGUUAGAAGCCUGUUUGUUCGAGGAAACAAGAUUUUAAUUGGAACGUAAAAAUUCAAAGACUGGAAAUAGAAACGCGUUCAUAGAAUCAUCUCUCUCACAGAAAACAUCUAAAGAUAAAAUACGUAAUUUUUCCUCGUUAACACUUCCUUUUCGUUUUUUUUUUUUUUUUUAUAAUUAAUAUUCGUUCGUGCAUCACAAGUGUCACAUAUAGUAUCGUGUUAUAAAGAAACGAGAAAUUUAAAGACCAAGAGAUCGAGACCAAGUAGGCAUUCACCAGUCACAUAUGAACUGGUUGUCUGGUUUGGUUGUCCAGGCUAUAAUGCUUCAAACUGAUGAUUGGAUUUUUUAUAGACUACCUUUGGUGUUUCUUAACACGUUAAGUACGAAUCAGUUUAUAAAACGUUUAGGUUAAUCGGUUGUUAAAAAGUUGGCCCAUCAGUCCAGAACUGGAAGAUAUCACUUAACUGGGUAAUAGAAUUGGACGAUCACGUUCGAAAGCGGCACUCCAAGUCAUAAAAUUUCGCGUGAGGACUUCAGACGAGCUAAAAGUUCCUGUAUAUCUAGUCGUUGGCAAAGUCACGUAGGCGUCCACCUAAAUAAGGCUACGAAACACUUUCGACGUUAACCGUUCACAAUUUGGAAUUCAUUAAAGACGCAACGUGACUCGAUAUUUUGAGUAGAUGAGUUUCAAAUUAACGAUUUUAACGCAACAAGCUACGAUCUUAUCUGAACGAAUAAACAACCGAGGAGAUUUCUCGAAAAAAGAUCUAUAAAACAGAACGGUGAAUCGAGUAAAUAGUGUUCCAAGUUUCAGUCGUAUUUUUUAAAAUGUUUAUAAGCUUCGACAUAUGGUGGGAUCAUACGUGUUCCAAUUUGACUGCUAUCAUUUUCAAGGUUAGGCUUCAUACGCAGGCUUAAAUGAAAUUUCAAAAUGUUUUAUAAAUCAGACGUAAUAUAAUCAUAAAAAUGUUUUAUAAUAAGUGUUCACAUAUUUUAUGCUACAGGCCUUUUCCGACAGGUUUUCCUAUAAAUUUCCUUUCAUUUCGAGUCCCCAUCCCAUGGUACUAAAUUUUACGACGCUAUUAUCAUUUUUAAAAAUCCUCGGUUUCUUUAUAGCUGGCGGUUAAGAAAAAACUGGUAGACGGCUCAGCUUGUUCGAUGAUUUUCAGCAAGCUUUCGUCGUCGAGUCGAUUCUGGCGACAUAACAUAGCUCUCGGAGCAAAGGACGAAGAUCAGGGUAGGGGGAGGACGUAUGGAUGCGGGCGUGCAACACAGUUUUCUUAAGGAAGGAAAAAAAGUUCCCACGGGUCGCGGAGAACUGCGGAAGAGGGAUGUGUACCGGUGCACGUGUAGCGUGGCUGCGACAGCUUAAAGCCAAUUCACACAUGGCCGUCCUUGUUUCGUGAUUCUACCGUUUCAGAUGCGUGCACGUUAC